UCCCCCGCUUCACCUCCCUGAGCGGGUGCCUUAUUCCCUUAAGGCAUGUCUCGCCCCCGGCCCCCCCUUUGCCGGGGGCUUUUUUU
rnacentral:ncRNA from 1 species